AUACGUAGGUGGCAAGCGUUGUCCGGAAUGAUUGGGCGUAAAGGGCGCGUAGGCGGCCCGGUAAGUCUGGAGUGAAAGUCCUGUUUUUAAGAUGGGAAUUGCUUUGGAUACUGUCGGGCUUGAGUGCAGGAGAGGUAAGUGGAAUUCCCAGUGUAGCGGUGAAAUUCGUAGAGAUUGGGAGGAACACCAGUGGCGAAGGCGACUUACUGGACUGUAACUGACGCUGAGGCGCGAAAGUGUGGGGAGCAAACAGGAUUAGAUACCCUGGUAGUCCACACUGUAAACGAUGAAUGCUAGGUGUAGGGGGUAUCGACCCCUUCUGUGCCGCAGUCAACACAAUAAGCAUUCCGCCUGGGGAGUACGGCCGCAAGGUUGAAACUUAAAGGAAUUGACGGGG
rnacentral:rRNA from 1 species